AGCCAAGUGGCGGAACUGGUAUACGCGCGACGCUCAGAACGUCGUGUCCGCAAGGAUAUGCGAGUUCAACUCUCGCCUUGGCUAC
rnacentral:tRNA from 1 species